CAAAAGAGGUUUUAAGCCAGUUAAGUUUUUCCCUUGCUGUAUUGUACCAGUAAGAAUUUUCAGCUUACAUUUUUAAACAUUCAUUUUGUCAUUAUUUGUAAUAAUCCAGUUAGAUUUUUGUAUGCACAAGGAGUCUGACAACAGCCGGUGCUACACACCUGAUCUCAUCAUCAUCAAAUUAUUAUUAGUAUAUAUUAGUAAACUGAGACAAACUAAAUUCAGAAGAACUUAACUGGCUUAAAACCUCUUUUGGGGGUAAAAAUACUAGCAUGCCUAAGACUUUUGCACAGUUCAGUAUGUGUUGACAACAUUAUUCUCUUCACAGAACCAAAGCAUUGAGGUGAGGCAUGAAGCUAUUAUCUGGAGCCUCAUACUGUACCUUGGCGAAAAAUAAGAGGAGCUUUUUAAAGAAUGCCUGGAGGACAGUCGCAGUGACACCAUGCAACACAUCCUUAAGAUUCUGGUGGUCUAUGGAGCUGGUGUAGAGGAUUCAGUGGAUGUAUCUAUUAUUCUCGAAGGCCGGGGGAUCCUACCAGGAUGUCACAACGUGGCUAAAGCUUGUGCACUACAUAUGGGGUUGAUUUUUCCCCUUAACCUUGCAUACCCCAAAGCCCUGCGCUAUAAUUUUGAGGUGUUUCAAAAACUUUUUCUAGAACUGGAUGGGAUUAAGUUGUUCUCUAAAGUUCAAACUUAAAAGUCCAAGCUGCUAAAUUAUAGUGUGUUUGUGAUGGCAAAUUCUGCACAUUAUUGGAUGAAAUUACAACACCCCAACUCAGUGUUUCAUCCUGCAUGUUCUGGUGAACCCUUUUCAUAAAUAAUUAUUUUGAGUUGUUCUGUUGUUUUGAAAUUGCUUUGAUACAUAAUUUGUACUUUUGCCAUUUGUACUAAAUUGAUCUUUAGAAGCGUUUUCAGUUUUAUGCCUUAUAACCAACUGGUCUUACUGUCAUCAAGAGAGACCAGACUUUAGAAGCAUUGAUGUGUUUAUACUGUGUGUUUUGAAUUUACUUUAUUCAAGGCAAAUAGUGGUGGGAAUAUGUUUUGUUAAAGUUAUAAUUUUUUGCCAGUUUUCAUUUACUUUUAUCUAGAGCGUUUAACAUCUUUAAUAAACAUAUUUAAAAUCUG